rnacentral:rRNA from 1 species
UACGGAGGAUGCAAGCGUUAUCCGGAUUUAUUGGGCGUAAAGCGUCCGCAGGUGGUUUUCCAAGUCUGCUGUUAAAGCGCGAGGCUUAACCUCGUACAGGCAGUGGAAACUGGAUGACUAGAGUAUGGUAGGGGUAGCGGGAAUCCCCAGUGUAGCGGUGAAAUGCGUAGAUAUUGGGAAGAACACCAGCGGCGAAAGCGCGCUACUGGGCCAUUACUGACACUCAUGGACGAAAGCUAGGGGAGCGAAAGGG